AGCGAACGCUGGCGGCAGGCCUAACACAUGCAAGUCGAACGAAGUCUUCGGACUUAGUGGCGGACGGGUGAGUAACACGUGGGAACGUACCUUUUGGUUCGGAACAACUCAGGGAAACUUGAGCUAAUACCGGCUGAGCCCUAAGGGGGAAAGAUUUAUCUACGAAAGAGCGGCCCGCGUUCGAUUAGAUAGUUGGUGAGGUAAAGGCUCACCAAGGCUACGAUCUAUAGCUGGUCUGAGAGGAUGAUCAGCCAAACUGAGACUUAGACACAGCCCAGACUCCUACGGGAGGCAGCAGUGGGGGAUGUUGCGCAAUGGGCGAAAGCCUGACGCAGCCAUGCCGCGUGAAUGAUGAAGGUCUUAGGAUUGAAAAAUUCUUUUACCAGGGGCGAUAAUGACGGUACCUGGAGAAAAAGCCCCGGCUAACUUCGUGCCAGCCGCCGCGGUAAAAC
rnacentral:rRNA from 1 species